UACGUAGGUGGCAAGCGUUGUCCGGAAUUAUUGGGCGUAAAGCGCGCGCAGGUGGUUUCUUAAGUCUGAUGUGAAAGCCCACGGCUCAACCGUGGAGGGUCAUUGGAAACUGGGGAACUUGAGUGCAGAAGAGGAAGUGGAAUUCCAAGUGUAGCGGUGAAAUGCGUAGAGAUUUGGAGGAACACCAGUGGCGAAGGCGAACUUUCUGGUCUGUAACUGACACUGAGGCGCGAAAGCGUGGGAGCGAACAGG
rnacentral:rRNA from 1 species